rnacentral:rRNA from 1 species
UACGUAGAUGGCGAGCGUUGUCCGGAAUUACUGGGUGUAAAGGGAGUGUAGGCGGGAUUGCAAGUUGAAUGUGAAAGGUGUGGGCUCAACCCACAGAGUGCGUUCAAAACUUCAGUUCUUGAGUGAAGUAGAGGCAGGCGGAAUUCCCGGUGUAGCGGUGGAAUGCGUAGAUAUCGGGAGGAACACCAGUGGCGAAGGCGGCCUGCUGGACUUUUACUGACGCUGAGGCUCGAAAGCAUGGGUAGCAAACAGGAUUAGAUACCCUGGUAGUCCAUGCCGUAAACGAUGAUUACUAGGUGUGGGAGGAUUGACCCCUUCCGUGCCGGAGUUAACACAUUAAGUAAUCCACCUGGGGAGUACGACCGCAAGGUUGAA